rnacentral:antisense_RNA from 1 species
CUUGACGGAGCCCAGCCACAACGGGUGCCCAGGCUCGCGCUCUUGCCCGUAGACGGCCAGCAGCGCCUGCGCCUC